UACAGAGGUCUCGAGCGUUAGGCGGAAUCACUGGGCUUAAAGCGUGUGUAGGUGGAUCGUUAAGUACCUUGUGAAAUCCCUCGGCUUAACCGGGGAACUGCGUCUGAUACUGGAUGGCUUGAGUUUGGGAGAGGGAUGCGGAAUUCCAGGUGUAGCGGUGAAAUGCGUAGAUAUCUGGAGGAACACCGGUGGCGAAGGCGGCAUCCUGGACCAACACUGACGCUGAGGAGCGAAAGCCAGGGGAGCAAACGGG
rnacentral:rRNA from 1 species